CUUAGCUUCGGCUAAACAUAUACUAAAAUUGGAACGAUACAGAGAAGAUUAGCAUGGCCCCUGCGCAAGGAUAACACGGAAAAUUUUGAAAAAAAAAAAAAAAGUUUU